GGUCGUCGCGCAUGCGCGGGGGUGGGCAAGGCAGUGGUCAGCGACCCGCAGUCCAUCUGACUCCUGCUUCCCGGGUGUUGCUCGUGACAAGGAAGAUGGGGAGCCAAAGACCAAGCAUCUCAGAGAAGAGGAGGAAGAAGGCGAGAAGCACAGGGAACUUAGGCUGCGGAACUAUGUCCCGGAGGAUGAGGACCUGAAGAAGAGGAGGGUGCCCCAGGCCAAACCGGUUGCAGGUAAGCAAGCUGCCCCUCUCCACCUCUGCUUCCUGGCACUGUCAGCCGCCCUCCACCUCAGCAGGCUUUGCUCUCUGAGAAUAACCAGCAGUACCAGGACAGGAGUUGGGCCUGCAGGCAGGACCCUUUGUUACUAUCUCAUGGCAGAUGCACACAGUCGGCCUUC
rnacentral:sRNA from 1 species